GACGAACGCUGGCGGCGUGCUUAACGCGUGCAAGUCGAACGGAAAGGCCCUGCUUUUGUGGGGUGCUCGAGUGGCGAACGGGUGAGUAACACGUGAGUAACCUGCCCUUGACUUUGGGAUAACUUCAGGAAACUGGGGCUAAUACCGGAUAGGAGCUCCUGCUGCAUGGUGGGGGUUGGAAAGUUUCGGCGGUUGGGGAUGGACUCGCGGCUUAUCAGCUUGUUGGUGGGGUAGUGGCUUACCAAGGCUUUGACGGGUAGCCGGCCUGAGAGGGUGACCGGCCACAUUGGGACUGAGAUACGGCCCAGACUCCUACGGGAGGCAGCAGUGGGGAAUAUUGCACAAUGGGCGGAAGCCUGAUGCAGCAACGCCGCGUGCGGGAUGACGGCCUUCGGGUUGUAAACCGCUUUCGCCUGUGACGAAGCGUGAGUGACGGUAAUGGGUAAAGAAGCACCGGCUAACUACGUG
rnacentral:rRNA from 1 species